CAGCAGCCACGGGAAUACGUAGGUGGCAAGCGUUGUCCGGAAUUAUUGGGCGUAAAGCGCGCGCAGGCGGAUCGGUCAGUCUGUCUUAAAAGUGCGGGGCUCAACCCCGUGAGGGGAUGGAAACUGUAUGCCUUGAGUGCAGGAGAGGAAAGCGGAAUUCCCAGUGUAGCGGUGAAAUGCGUAGAUAUUGGGAGGAACACCAGUGGCGAAGGCGGCUUUCUGGACUGUAACUGACGCUGAGGCUUGAAAGCCAGGGGAGCGAACGGGACUAGAUACCCCUGUAGUCCCUGUCUCUUAUACA
rnacentral:rRNA from 1 species